UAAAUGUGCACAGAUAGAAGCCAAAUUCUAUGAGGAAGUUCAUGAUCUUGAAAGGAAGUAUGCUGUUCUCUAUCAGCCUCUAUUUGAUAAGCGAUUUGAGAUCAUUAAUGCAAUUUAUGAACCUACAGAAGAAGAAUGUGAAUGGAAACCAGAUGAAGAAGAGGAAAUUUCGGAGGAGCUGAAAGAAAAGGCCAAGAUAGAAGAUGAGAAAAAAGAUGAAGAAAAAGAAGACCCUAAAGGAAUUCCUGAAUUUUGGUUGACU